GGGUUGUGAGGUUAAGCGACUAAGCGUACACGGUGGAUGCCCUGGCAGUCAGAGGCGAUGAAGGACGUGCUAAUCUGCGAUAAGCGUCGGUAAGGUGAUAUGAACCGUUAUAACCGGCGAUUUCCGAAUGGGGAAACCCAGUGUGUUUCGACACACUAUCAUUAACUGAAUCCAUAGGUUAAUGAGGCGAACCGGGGGAACUGAAACAUCUAAGUACCCCGAGGAAAAGAAAUCAACCGAGAUUCCCCCAGUAGCGGCGAGCGAACGGGGAGCAGCCCAGAGCCUGAAUCAGUGUGUGUGUUAGUGGAAGCGUCUGGAAAGGCGCGCGAUACAGGGUGACAGCCCCGUACACAAAAAUGCACAUACUGUGAGCUCGAUGAGUAGGGCGGGACACGUGGUAUCCUGUCUGAAUAUGGGGGGACCAUCCUCCAAGGCUAAAUACUCCUGACUGACCGAUAGUGAACCAGUACCGUGAGGGAAAGGCGAAAAGAACCCCGGCGAGGGGAGUGAAAAAGAACCUGAAACCGUGUACGUACAAGCAGUGGGAGCCUCUUAAUGGGGUGACUGCGUACCUUUUGUAUAAUGGGUCAGCGACUUAUAUUCUGUAGCAAGGUUAACCGAAUAGGGGAGCCGAAGGGAAACCGAGUCUUAACUGGGCGUUAAGUUGCAGGGUAUAGACCCGAAACCCGGUGAUCUAGCCAUGGGCAGGUUGAAGGUUGGGUAACACUAACUGGAGGACCGAACCGACUAAUGUUGAAAAAUUAGCGGAUGACUUGUGGCUGGGGGUGAAAGGCCAAUCAAACCGGGAGAUAGCUGGUUCUCCCCGAAAGCUAUUUAGGUAGCGCCUCGUGAAUUCAUCUCCGGGGGUAGAGCACUGUUUCGGCAAGGGGGUCAUCCCGACUUACCAACCCGAUGCAAACUGCGAAUACCGGAGAAUGUUAUCACGGGAGACACACGGCGGGUGCUAACGUCCGUCGUGAAGAGGGAAACAACCCAGACCGCCAGCUAAGGUCCCAAAGUCAUGGUUAAGUGGGAAACGAUGUGGGAAGGCCCAGACAGCCAGGAUGUUGGCUUAGAAGCAGCCAUCAUUUAAAGAAAGCGUAAUAGCUCACUGGUCGAGUCGGCCUGCGCGGAAGAUGUAACGGGGCUAAACCAUGCACCGAAGCUGCGGCAGCGACACUAUGUGUUGUUGGGUAGGGGAGCGUUCUGUAAGCCUGCGAAGGUGUACUGUGAGGUAUGCUGGAGGUAUCAGAAGUGCGAAUGCUGACAUAAGUAACGAUAAAGCGGGUGAAAAGCCCGCUCGCCGGAAGACCAAGGGUUCCUGUCCAACGUUAAUCGGGGCAGGGUGAGUCGACCCCUAAGGCGAGGCCGAAAGGCGUAGUCGAUGGGAAACAGGUUAAUAUUCCUGUACUUGGUGUUACUGCGAAGGGGGGACGGAGAAGGCUAUGUUGGCCGGGCGACGGUUGUCCCGGUUUAAGCGUGUAGGCUGAUUUUCCAGGCAAAUCCGGAAAAUCAAGGCUGAGGCGUGAUGACGAGGCACUACGGUGCUGAAGCAACAAAUGCCCUGCUUCCAGGAAAAGCCUCUAAGCAUCAGGUAACAUCAAAUCGUACCCCAAACCGACACAGGUGGUCAGGUAGAGAAUACCAAGGCGCUUGAGAGAACUCGGGUGAAGGAACUAGGCAAAAUGGUGCCGUAACUUCGGGAGAAGGCACGCUGAUAUGUAGGUGAAGUCCCUUGCGGAUGGAGCUGAAAUCAGUCGAAGAUACCAGCUGGCUGCAACUGUUUAUUAAAAACACAGCACUGUGCAAACACGAAAGUGGACGUAUACGGUGUGACGCCUGCCCGGUGCCGGAAGGUUAAUUGAUGGGGUUAGCGGUAACGCGAAGCUCUUGAUCGAAGCCCCGGUAAACGGCGGCCGUAACUAUAACGGUCCUAAGGUAGCGAAAUUCCUUGUCGGGUAAGUUCCGACCUGCACGAAUGGCGUAAUGAUGGCCAGGCUGUCUCCACCCGAGACUCAGUGAAAUUGAACUCGCUGUGAAGAUGCAGUGUACCCGCGGCAAGACGGAAAGACCCCGUGAACCUUUACUAUAGCUUGACACUGAACAUUGAGCCUUGAUGUGUAGGAUAGGUGGGAGGCUUUGAAGUGUGGACGCCAGUCUGCAUGGAGCCGGCCUUGAAAUACCACCCUUUAAUGUUUGAUGUUCUAACGUUGGCCCCUGAUCGGGGUUGCGGACAGUGUCUGGUGGGUAGUUUGACUGGGGCGGUCUCCUCCUAAAGAGUAACGGAGGAGCACGAAGGUUGGCUAAUCCUGGUCGGACAUCAGGAGGUUAGUGCAAUGGCAUAAGCCAGCUUGACUGCGAGCGUGACGGCGCGAGCAGGUGCGAAAGCAGGUCAUAGUGAUCCGGUGGUUCUGAAUGGAAGGGCCAUCGCUCAACGGAUAAAAGGUACUCCGGGGAUAACAGGCUGAUACCGCCCAAGAGUUCAUAUCGACGGCGGUGUUUGGCACCUCGAUGUCGGCUCAUCACAUCCUGGGGCUGAAGUAGGUCCCAAGGGUAUGGCUGUUCGCCAUUUAAAGUGGUACGCGAGCUGGGUUUAGAACGUCGUGAGACAGUUCGGUCCCUAUCUGCCGUGGGCGCUGGAGAACUGAGGGGGGCUGCUCCUAGUACGAGAGGACCGGAGUGGACGCAUCACUGGUGUUCGGGUUGUCAUGCCAAUGGCACUGCCCGGUAGCUAAAUGCGGAAGAGAUAAGUGCUGAAAGCAUCUAAGCACGAAACUUGCCCCGAGAUGAGUUCUCCCUGACUCCUUGAGAGUCCUGAAGGAACGUUGAAGACGACGACGUUGAUAGGCCGGGUGUGUAAGCGCAGCGAUGCGUUGAGCUAACCGGUACUAAUGAACCGUGAGGCUUAACCUUACAACGCCGAAGGUGUUU
rnacentral:rRNA from 1 species